rnacentral:rRNA from 1 species
UACAGAGGGGGCAAGCGUUGUUCGGAAUUACUGGGCGUAAAGGGCGCGUAGGCGGCCUUCUAAGUCGAACGUGAAAUCCCUCGGCUUAACCGAGGAACUGCCGUCCAAACUGCUUGGCUUGAGACCAGGAGAGGUGAGUGGAAUUCCCAGUGUAGAGGUGAAAUUCGUAGAUAUCGGAAGGAACACCAGUGGCGAAGGCGGCCAUCUGGACGGUGACUGACGCUGAGACGCGAAAGCGUGGGGAGCAAACAGG